UUAUUUCUCUUGUGCUUUAUUUCCUAUAAUAAUGGCCGACGCAACCUCAAAAGAGAGCUACCUAAUGUUACUUACUUUACUUAUUUGUGGGAUGUUGAGUUAUCUACUUUAUGAUGCCAUUGUAGAGGUAAUGCAAAGCUUUCUAAUGGUUCUCCCUUUGAUUUUGGUUAUGGCAAUUCAUUGGCUCUCUUGAGACAUAGCAAGUCGUUUUAGCCUUCCCAUGCCUUCAAGUGAGCUUUUCAGUUAGUUCUUCUUUUUCUUCUCAUUUCCUAACAACCUUUCCUUCCUGCAAGUUCUGCUAGCUCCCAACCAUAGCAGGAUUUCAACCAGUAAUACUUUCUUGGGUGCUAGAAGGAUUGGAACACAAAAGGUUUAUUUAAAAAUAAUUUUUUUUUGAAAAAAAUAUUGUUAUAUUUUGGUCCUUAAGAGUGUUUAUGUGAGCUUGUACGUUUCUUAUGUCAAUGGGUUUCGUGUUGAAGAAAAAAUGUUGUAUUUUAUAUUUGGAUUCUAUAUGUUAAAAUUUUUACUUGUAUGAGUAAUAUACCUAGCUAAGUUCUCUUUGUUUUGUUUGUUA
rnacentral:lncRNA from 1 species